rnacentral:rRNA from 1 species
GACAGAGGCCUCGAGCGUUAGGCGGAAUCACUGAGCUUAAAGCGCGUGUAGGCGGAUCGUUAAGUGCCUUGUGAAAUCCUGCGGCUCAACCGCAGAACCGCUGGGCAUACUGGCGGUCUUGGGCCACUCAGGGGUCACUGGAACAAGCGGUGGAGCGGUGAAAUGCGUAGAUAUCGCUUGGAACGCCAAAGGUGAAGACAGGUGACUGGGGGUGUGCCGACGCUGAGACGCGAAAGCCAGGGGAGCAAACGGG